GACGAACGCUGGCGGCGUGCUUAACACAUGCAAGUCGAACGGAAAGGCCCUGCUUUUGUGGGGUGCUCGAGUGGCGAACGGGUGAGUAACACGUGAAUAACCUGCCCUUGACUUUGGGAUAACUUCAGGAAACUGGGGCUAAUACCGGAUAGGAGCUCCUGCUGCAUGGUGGGGGUUGGAAAGUUUCGGCGGUUGGGGACGGACUCGCGGCUUAUCAGCUUGUUGGUGGGGUAGUGGCUUACCAAGGCUUUGACGGGUAGCCGGCCUGAGAGGGUGACCGGCCACAUUGGGACUGAGAUACGGCCCAGACUCCUACGGGAGGCAGCAGUGGGGAAUAUUGCACAAUGGGCGGAAGCCUGAUGCAGCAACGCCGCGUGCGGGAUGACGGCCUUCGGGUUGUAAACCGCUUUCGCCUGUGACGAAGCGUGAGUGACGGUAAUGGGUAAAGAAGCACCGGCUAACUACGUG
rnacentral:rRNA from 1 species